GUGCUUGCUUCGGCAGCACGUAUAUAAAAUCGGAACGAUACAGAGAAGAUGAGCAUGGCCCCUGCACAAGGAUGACAUGCAAAUUUGUGAAGCGUUCCAUAUUAAA